UUGACCUCGAAUCAGGUAGGAAUACCCGCUGAACUUAAGCAUAUCAAUAAGCGGAGGAAAAGAAACCAACAGGGAUUGCCUCAGUAACGGCGAGUGAAGCGGCAACAGCUCAAAUUUGAAAUCUGGCCCCCCGGCCCGAGUUGUAAUUUGCAGAGGAUGCUUCGGGCGCGGUGCCUUCCAAGUCCCCUGGAACGGGGCGCCGGAGAGGGUGAGAGCCCCGUACGGUUGGCGGCCAAGCCUGUGUGAAGCUCCUUCGACGAGUCGAGUAGUUUGGGAAUGCUGCUCUAAGCGGGAGGUAGACCCCUUCUAAAGCUAAAUAUAGGCCAGAGACCGAUAGCGCACAAGUAGAGUGAUCGAAAGAUGAAAAGCACUUUGAAAAGAGGGUUAAACAGCACGUGAAAUUGUUGAAAGGGAAGCGCUUGCGACCAGACGUGCGCCGGGGUGCUCAGCGGGCGUUCUCGCCCGUGCACUCGCCCCGGCGCAGGCCAGCGUCGGUUCGCGUGGGAGGAUAAAGGCGCCUGGAAUGUGGCUCCCUCGGGAGUGUUAUAGCCAGGCGUGCCAUGCUCCCCUGCGGACCGAGGUACGCGUUCUGCAAGGACGCUGGCGUAAUGGUCCCCAGCGACCCGUCUUGAAACACGGACCAAGGAGUCGAGGUUUUGCGCGAGUGUUUGGGUGUUAAACCCGCACGCGUAAUGAAAGUGAACGUAGGUGGGAGCUUCGGCGCACCACCGACCGAUCCUGAUGUUCUCGGAUGGAUUUGAGUAAGAGCGUAGGGCCUCGGACCCGAAAGAUGGUGAACUAUGCUUGGAUAGGGUGAAGCCAGAGGAAACUCUGGUGGAGGCUCGCAGCGGUUCUGACGUGCAAAUCGAUCGUCAAAUCUGAGCAUGGGGGCGAAAGACUAAUCGAACCAUCUAGUAGCUGGUUACCGCCGAAGUUUCCCUCAGGAUAGCAGUGUUGUUCUUCAGUUUUAUGAGGUAAAGCGAAUGAUUAGGGACUCGGGGGCGCUAUUUAGCCUUCAUCCAUUCUCAAACUUUAAAUAUGUAAGAAGCCCUUGUUGCUUAAUUGAACGUGGGCAUUCGAAUGCAUCAACACUAGUGGGCCAUUUUUGGUAAGCAGAACUGGCGAUGUGGGAUGAACCAUACGGGGGGUUAAGGUGCCAGAGUAGACGCUCAUCAGACACCACAAAAGGCGUUAGCACAUCUUGACAGCAGGACGGUGGCCAUGGAAGUCGGAAUCCGCUAAGGACUGUGUAACAACUCACCUGCCGAAUGUGCUAGCCCUGAAAAUGGAUGGCGCUCAAGCGUCUCACCCAUACCCCCCCCUCAGGGUAGAAACGAUGCCCUGAGGAGUAGGCGGCCGCAGUGCUGUGUGACGAAGGCUAGGGCGUGAGCCCGGCUCGAACCGGCGCUGGUGCGGAUCUUGGUGGUAGUAGCAAAUACUUCAAUGAGAACUUGAAGGACC
rnacentral:rRNA from 1 species